rnacentral:rRNA from 1 species
AAAGGUAAGCUACUAAGAGCGAAUGGUGGAUGCCUUGACUGGUAAAGGCGAUGAAGGACGUACUAGACUGCGAUAAGCUACGGGGAGCUGUCAAGAAGCUUUGAUCCGUAGAUUUCCGAAUGGGGCAACCCAAUGUAUAGAGAUAUACAUUACCUAUAUAGGAGCGAACGAGGGGAAUUGAAACAUCUUAGUACCCUCAGGAAAAGAAAUCAAUAGAGAUUGCGUCAGUAGCGGCGAGCGAAAGCGCAAGAGGGCAAACCCAGUGCUUGCACUGGGGGUUGUAGGACUGCAAUGUGCAAGAGCUGAGUUUAGCAGAACAUUCUGGAAAGUAUAGCCAUAGAGGGUGAUAGUCCCGUAUGCGAAAAACAAAGCUUAGCUAGCAGUAUCCUGAGUAGGGCGGGACACGAGGAAUCCUGUCUGAAUCCGGGUCGACCACGAUCCAACCCUAAAU